UUUUUUUUUUUUAAUUUGCUAAGAUGUAUUUUAUGCCUAUCACAUGAUCUAACUUGAAUGUUUUGUGUUAAGCUUGAGAAAAUGGGUAUUCUGCUCAUGUUGAAUGGUCUACAUUACACCCAAUUAAUUGAAAGUGUUGCUAAGUUCAGCUGGGUGCCUGCUGAAUUGGUCGAUUUCUGAGAAAGGGGUGUGGAAGUCUAUAACUGUCAUAGUGGUUUCAUCUAUAAACCUUGUAGUUCUAUUAAUUUUUGGCUCACAGAGUUAUGAUGCUAUGCUGUUGUUAGGGGCAUACACGAUAAGAAUUGUUACAUCUUCUUGAAGAAUGACCCCUUUCUCACCGUGUAAUGCCUUUCUUUAUGCUGAUAACUUUCCUUACUUUGGAGUCUGCUCUGUCUGAAUUAAUACAGCUACUCCUGCUUUCUUUCGAAUAGUGUUAGUGCAUUUUUCUCCAUCCAUUGACUUCCAAUCUGUAUGUGUCCUUAUAUUUAAAGUGGGUUUCUGGGUGUUACGCUUUAUGUUGACAAAUUGAACUCCAAUAAAAAAAUAAAAUAAUGAAAAAAUGAAAAAAAAUAAAUUCCAUUAAAGUGACUAAUUUGACAGCAUAUUUCACUGCUGUAUAACUGAUAAAUAAUUUGAUGUAGUAAUAGAUGCUCCACCAAUAAUUGUUGAAUAAUAAAGAAAUUAGUGAUCAAGGUGAAAAAAAUAAAGUGGGUUUCUUAUAGGCAAUAUGAAGUUGGAAGACUUGAUCUAAUUUUUAAAACUUCAAAGACAGAGGUAUCAGAAAUAUCUAGGAAGUAAUAGAAGAGAGCUGAGUACUCUCACUUUUGAGUGCUCCUGGUGGGCAGGCAGUGAGUCCUUAAAUUGCUUCUGGCGCUAUUCAAAUGGCCUGUACUGUUAUUGCCAUUUGAAGACAACGUGCACACAUUACAACUAUCCAGGAUUUCAUCAUCAUCAGUAGUACCUUAUUCGCACUGUGUACAUGACUCAGCUCUGGGCUGAAUACAGAGAGGGAACUUGCAAGUGGAUAUAAUGUAUACAAAGGGGACAAAGGGAUAGAGGAAGCCCAGGUGCAUCACAAGGGUCACUGAGGUGGAUAUGCCAUGACACACACAAUACACCAAAAUAUACUCCAGACAGACUUCAGAGUUGCAGGAAUGGGAACUAGCUGUGCUUUCAUUUACUUUUCUGUCAAAAGAAAAGCCAUAUUUAGGUCAGUCAAAGUGAAGUUCUAAGGAGAACUGUGUCUAAUUUAGGAAAUACCACCAUUUCAGAUCAUAACCUUGAUGACUGUAAGACCUCUUCUACUUAUAAGGAUCUGCUUCUCUUUCCUUUUAAGGGACACGAAAUGAGAGAAGGAUCUAUAAGAGAGACAUUUGGAAUGUAGGAGGAUAAAGGCAAGGCCAACUAGUGGCCAGGCUACCUCCAGAUGAUUCCUCCAGUACCAUCUGUAACCAUCCUCAUGCACAAAGGAGGCAUGUGUUUUGGGCGGAUAAAGCACUCUCCUCGGAUAACAAAGUCUUGUUCUGUGGGGUCCCUUUAGGAAACUCUGAAGAGGGUCUUCCUUCUGGUACCACACUCUUUCAACAAGCAACCAAAAAUUUAUCAGACUGAAUUUUUAAAAAAUUCCAUUCAAGUGAAUUCCACUCAAUUCUUACCCACACAUUAUCUUCAUUGGGCACAUGUUCCCAGGUUUCCCAGAGAUUCAUGGCAAUUAUGAUGGUUUUACUUCUAUGGGGGCUUGCAUUCCCUUGUUAAUAUUCAUUUCAAAAAGUAAUUUAUUUCCCUGCUCUAGGGAUUUGUGUACUGGCCACAUGCAUACUAUUUAGUAUCUUACAUAAAAAUGUCUUUUGCAAUAAAGAUUUCAAGAAAUUAUCGCCUAUUAUAUCUUGUAUGUUUAAUUACAAACUUGAUGAUAGAUUAUUGAUUCUUUUCAGUGGUGUAUUAAUGAUUUAAAUUCUUUUUCUAGUCUAAUAACUCCAAAUAAUGAUUCCCCCUGUUACACUCUCAUAUUCUAAAGUGCAUAUUCUUAAGUCAGAGGAUUGUUUCCAACAGCGAGCAUGAAAAUCAAGAUGCAAAGUACAGAGGACACAUUCAGGUGUGGUUAGAAAAAUUAUGAAAAAAAAAAAGGAAAAAAAUGAUGAAGAUGGUCUUGGGGAAAAUGAAAAACCUUUUCUUCUGUUUCCCCAACCUCCUACCUUCUGCUACAUUUCAAGGUAAGGUGACAGCUCUGAAUAAACAGCGCAAACUGUAUUUUCCCCAUCAUGUGAAAAGACCACAAGCAUUAAAGAGGAUGUCUUUAUCAAAAUAUCUGUAAUUGUGACCUUCAGAGAAACAGAACAAGAAGUACUGGUGAAUUUCUUGUUUUUUUCAUGGGUAUCCCUCCUCCCUUCCUUUCAUUUCCUUCAUAUCUAAGACUUCUUCCUGAAGCAAAAACAUAGUUUCUAUUACCAAAAAAAGUUGAAAAACAGAAUUUAAUCCAUGUCCAUCCACUGACUUCUCUCUUCUGUGAUGGUUGGUCUUCCCUGCUCUAAGAAGAGACAUUUUGUUUGCUGGACCUGAAUAUUAUCCUAGAGAGAGAGAGAGAAAAAAAAAAGCAAAUCUGAACCAUAUUUUUCAAACCUGAUUGGGGUCAUUCUCCUGUCAAAGGCCACAAAUGACUCCUACACAACUCUGCUUUCUCAUGUGAGAGAAGGGAAUGAAAUUGAACAGUCGUUACAGAGUCAUACAGUCAGAGGGCUGAAAGAAACUAUAGGCCCCAUCGCCAUAUUCAAUGCUUGGAUCUUUUCUAUGGUACCCACAACAUCGAGAUUUCACGGUGCUAAUCAAUUUACUCUCUUUCCCCUCCGGGUUCUGAACCUGUUGAGAAAUAAAAGAAGUGUGAUUUUGUGACUUAGGGUAAGAAAUAUAUAUCUGGUCUUCAUCCCUAUUUCUGGUAUAGAGUUUCUAAAGC
rnacentral:lncRNA from 1 species